rnacentral:rRNA from 1 species
GAUGAACGCUAGCGGCAGGCCUAAUACAUGCAAGUCGAGGGGCAACAGGAAUAGCAAUAUUUGCUGGCGACCGGCGCACGGGUGCGUAACACGUAUACAAUCUGCCUUUAACAGGGGGAUAGCCCGGAGAAAUCCGGAUUAAUACCCCAUAACAGAUCGAAUGGCAUCAUUUGAUUUUGAAAGCUCCGGCGGUUAAAGAUGAGUAUGCGUCUGAUUAGCUAGAUGGUGAGGUAACGGCUCACCAUGGCGACGAUCAGUAGGGGAUCUGAGAGGAUUAACCCCCANACGGAUACUGAGACACGGAUCCGACUCCUACGGGAGGCGGCAGUAAGGAAUAUUGGACAAUGCCCGCAAGGGUGAUCCAGCUAUGCCGCGUGCAGGAAGACAGCCCUAUGGGUCGUAAACUGCUUUUACACCGGAGAAACCCCCCUACGUGUAGGGGGCUGAUAGUAUGGUGAGAAUAAGCAUCGGCUAACUUCGUGCCAGCACG